rnacentral:rRNA from 1 species
GACGAACGCUGGCGGCGUGCCUAAUACAUGCAAGUAGAACGCUGAAGGAGGAGCUUGCUUCUCUGGAUGAGUUGCGAGCGGGUGAGUAACGCGUAGGUAACCUGCCUGGUAGCGGGGGAUAACUAUUGGAAACGAUAGCUAAUACCGCAUAAGAGUAGAUGUCGCAUGACAUUUGCUUAAAAGGUGCAAUUGCAUCACUACCAGAUGGACCUGCGUUGUAUUAGCUAGUUGGUGAGGUAACGGCUCACCAAGGCAACGAUACAUAGCCGACCUGAGAGGGUGAUCGGCCACACUGGGACUGAGACACGGCCCAGACUCCUACGGGAGGCAGCAGUAGGGAAUCUUCGGCAAUGGACGGAAGUCUGACUGAGCAACGCCGCGUGAGUGAAGAAGGUUUUCGGAUCGUAAAGCUCUGUUGUAAGAGAAGAACGAGUGUGAGAGUGGAAAGUUCACACUGUGACGGUAUCUUACCAGAAAGGGACGGCUAACUACGUG